rnacentral:rRNA from 1 species
GUGCCUGCCGCCGCGGUAAUACGUAGGGGGCGAGCGUUGUCCGGAAUUACUGGGCGUAAAGGGUGCGUAGGCGGCCUUUUAAGUCAGAUGUGAAAGACCACGGCUUAACCGUGGGGUUGCAUUUGAAACUGGGGAGCUUGAGUUUCGGAGAGGGUAGUGGAAUUCCCGGUGUAGCGGUGAAAUGCGUAGAUAUCGGGAGGAGCACCAGUGGCGAAGGCGACUACCUGGACGAUAACUGACGCUGAGGCACGAAAGCUAGGGGAGCAAACAGGAUUAGAUACCCUGGUAGUCCUAGCCGUAAACGAUAGGUACUAGGUGUGGGUGGUUUCGAUACCAUCCGUGCCGUAGUUAACGCAUUAAGUACCCCGCCUGGGGAGUACGGGCGCAAGCAUGAAACUCAAAGAAAUUGACGG